rnacentral:rRNA from 1 species
UACGUAGGUCCCGAGCGUUAUCCGGAAUUAUUGGGCGUAAAGAGCAUGUAGGCGGUAAAUUAAGUUUGGUGUUAAAACUGAUGGCUCAACCAUUUAGGUGCAUUGAAAACUGAUUUACUAGAAUCCUGGAGAGGUAAGUGGAACUCCAUGUGUAGCGGUGGAAUGCGUAGAUAUAUGGAAGAACACCAAUGGCGAAGGCAGCUUACUGGACAGGGAUUGACGCUGAGAUGCGAAAGCGUGGGGAGCAAAC